rnacentral:rRNA from 1 species
GAUGAACGCUGGCGGCGUGCCUAAUACAUGCAAGUCGAGCGAACGGACGAGAAGCUUGCUUCUCUGAUGUUAGCGGCGGACGGGUGAGUAACACGUGGAUAACCUACCUAUAAGACUGGGAUAACUUCGGGAAACCGGAGCUAAUACCGGAUGAUAUUUUGAACCGCAUGGUUCAAAAGUGAAAGACGGUCUUGCUGUCACUUAUAGAUGGAUCCGCGCUGCAUUAGCUAGUUGGUAAGGUAACGGCUUACCAAGGCAACGAUGCAUAGCCGACCUGAGAGGGUGAUCGGCCACACUGGAACUGAGACACGGUCCAGACUCCUACGGGAGGCAGCAGUAGGGAAUCUUCCGCAAUGGGCGAAAGCCUGACGGAGCAACGCCGCGUGAGUGAUGAAGGUCUUCGGAUCGUAAAACUCUGUUAUUAGGGAAGAACAUAUGUGUAAGUAACUGUGCACAUCUUGACGGUACCUAAUCAGAAAGCCACGGCUAACUACGUGCCAGCAGCCGCGGUAAUACGUAGGUGGCAAGCGUUAUCCGGAAUUAUUGGGCGUAAAGCGCGCGUAGGCGGUUUUUUAAGUCUGAUGUGAAAGCCCACGGCUCAACCGUGGAGGGUCAUUGGAAACUGGAAAACUUGAGUGCAGAAGAGGAAAGUGGAAUUCCAUGUGUAGCGGUGAAAUGCGCAGAGAUAUGGAGGAACACCAGUGGCGAAGGCGACUUUCUGGUCUGUAACUGACGCUGAUGUGCGAAAGCGUGGGGAUCAAACAGGAUUAGAUACCCUGGUAGUCCACGCCGUAAACGAUGAGUGCUAAGUGUUAGGGGGUUUCCGCCCCUUAGUGCUGCAGCUAACGCAUUAAGCACUCCGCCUGGGGAGUACGACCGCAAGGUUGAAACUCAAAGGAAUUGACGGGGACCCGCACAAGCGGUGGAGCAUGUGGUUUAAUUCGAAGCAACGCGAAGAACCUUACCAAAUCUUGACAUCCUUUGACAACUCUAGAGAUAGAGCCUUCCCCUUCGGGGGACAAAGUGACAGGUGGUGCAUGGUUGUCGUCAGCUCGUGUCGUGAGAUGUUGGGUUAAGUCCCGCAACGAGCGCAACCCUUAAGCUUAGUUGCCAUCAUUAAGUUGGGCACUCUAAGUUGACUGCCGGUGACAAACCGGGGGAAGGUGGGGAUGACGUCAAAUCAUCAUGCCCCUUAUGAUUUGGGCUACACACGUGCUACAAUGGACAAUACAAAGGGCAGCGAAACCGCGAGGUCAAGCAAAUCCCAUAAAGUUGUUCUCAGUUCGGAUUGUAGUCUGCAACUCGACUACAUGAAGCUGGAAUCGCUAGUAAUCGUAGAUCAGCAUGCUACGGUGAAUACGUUCCCGGGUCU